rnacentral:lncRNA from 1 species
CCGUCAGGUUUUCUGCAGUGAGCAGAGCUCUGGACCCAGGCAUGUGACUUUCUUUGGCCAACUGAAUGUGGCAGAAGUAACAGAGUGACGGCUCCUGGCUAAAUAUCCUGAAGAAGAAAUUACCUGUUGGUGGCUCCAGUGUACCAGUGGAAAGGUUUAAGAGCGGCUUGGUUAAGCACAGCAUGCUGUCUCUCUAGGCUUUUUCGAAGUCCGAUGGAGUGCAUAACCUGAGCGCGGUGAGCUGUAAGGGAGAGGCCUAAAGCCCAGGCUCGGGGAGAAGCCCACGCUGCCCAGCCCUGUAUCUCCUGGCACCCAUUUCUCGAUGUCCUACCGCAACACACAGCCGCGUAAGAGGUG